GGUUCGGCUCUCGGGGGCGGGUUGGUACGAGGUGCCCCGUCUCGGUAUCUCUUCUACCUCUCGUCUCGUUUGCUCUUUAUCAAAAGCGUCUCGGCAAUUCGAGUGGAGGAAGCUCCGGCCGACGAGGUGGAGGUGGAGGUGGAUUAGGGGUAAGCGGAGCGGAGGGGCGGGUGGCGGUGGUGGGCAGCUACCGCCGGUAGUUCGGCGGCGGCGGACUGGCCGGCGGCGUCCGGCGCGCCGACGGCAGGGGAAGGAGGAGGAGGAGCCGCCACCGCCGCCGGUUCGCUCCGCGGUGUCCGAGGGCGCCCGACGAGUACCCCGCGAUGCUCGACCCGGCGCAGGACCCGUUUCCGUGGAAGCGGUUCCACAUGGUGCGCGCCGUGCACGUCUGGCCGCUCUCGCACCGGUAGUUCCACGAGCUGGCCCUCUUCCGGCACGCCUCGCCGGAGCAGAGCGUGUAGUUCGCGCUCUAGCGGCACGAGGCGGCGCACGCGGUGGGGUUGUAGCACGUGGAGAAGCUCCAGUACCGGUGGUUCUGGUUCUAGAUGAAGCAGUACCUCGAGCAGGCGCCGCCGCUCGAGAAGAGGGCGCAGAGGUUCCCGGCGGAGUUCCUCCUGUAACGCGCGGCGAUGAAGGUCGUGGAGUAGAGGCGGCAGCCGAAGACGGUGUGGGCGCCCCAGAAGGUGGCCCUGGAGUUCGGCCUCUUGGAGGAGCAGCUGCUCCGCCCGUUGGAGUUCCACAGGCUGAAGCCGGAGAGGCGGCAGCGGCUCGGCAAGGUCGGUCUCCCAGAGGAGGUGUGGAAGACGCCGUGCGGCCGGAUGCAGCGCGGGCUUCAGGAGCGGGCGGCACCUAUGCUUCCGCGGUUCCGGCUGUAUACCAGGACGCCACAGUAGGAGAAACAAGAGUACCGGCCUAUGGAGGGAAAGGUACUGGUCUUGGAGUACCGGUACAUGGCAUUCCAAAUGUUCCCUCUCAAGGCUACAGGUUCCACCAAGAGGUUCCUGGAAUGAUCGAACUAGUACGCAAAAGAACUGUGUUUGGGUUCGUGGUCCUAGUGGAACGGCCUCCAGUACCUCUCGGCCACCAAGUUCUUUCCAAAGGCCGGUCAGUUCAAGAUAUAACUUCUACUGGUCGACAUGUUGCAGUAACUACGGCUCUUACUAUACGAGCUGAACCCAGAGGGACUGGGAGAAGGAGUUGGUAACGAAGGAGGUGGAAGUAGAGGUAGAGGCGUUCUUCAACUACCUCUACUGAGUCCCAGUCUUAGGCUGCGUAGUCAGCACAGGACGGGACGGUGUAGCAGUAAACUUCUCGCGGUGUCCGAGGCGCCCGGUGAGGGUGCGGGGCGUUCGGAAUUGCGCAAACUAUAGUAUAGUAAGAGUUCCCCUAAGUUGAACAGCCCCGACAAACUCCUUUUUCCCCUGCUCCACUCUAAGUAGAGCUCACUUGGAUACAGCCCGUAAUAUUGCUUUAAUCUCCUCUAGCGUUUACACUUCUCGAAGCGCCACGCCUUCUUCCUAACCGCCCACUCGGAUCUCCCGUGUUCCCUUCCCCAAUUCCCCGGUGAUUGUUAGACGCGCCUCUAUAAACUUGAGUGUGGGAGGGAACAUCAUCACCUCCAUUUUUUCUUCCGCCCCCUAUUCCUUCUCAUACUACUAAAGACGUUGUUCCUUAACUUCGGUCCUUACGUCGUAGAACACGUGGUCUACCGGGGUCAAGGUUAAUGUGGAUGGUAAAGACUCAUCCGGCUUUCCGGAAGUUCCAUUGUCCGCGGUGGCGGGGAUCUCGAUUGCCCCUAUCCCCCUCGCUGAGAGGUUCGAUCUUUCUUUGACCUCAGCCCACGUUGACUGUCCUCGUUCUCAAGAACAUCAGAGCCCGUGACUGCUACUACUCGCGCCAAUGAACCAAUUGAGACCUCUCGUAUGCAUUACAAUAGGCUCUGCCCUCGAUCUAACACCGACAUAUACCACAGUGGGAUCGACGACAAAUUUACAAACAUGAAAAGAGAUGAAUUAAACGACUACUACUAACACAUACAUGAGGGCGACAACCAAAUAGUCGUCUUGGCUUAUUAAAACCCAUUAGCAAUUAAGUUCCUGGUUUGACUAACUCCUUAUUUAACCCACGUUGUACGUAACGUACGUGGGAAACCGGUGG
rnacentral:rRNA from 1 species